CAGUUAAGACUCUAGAAUAUCAUGAUUUAUGUAAAUUUUCCUCAAUAAUAUGAAUGUUCAGGUUAAGAUUGUACAGUGAUAUUAUGUAAGUUUAGCUGAUUAACGUUUAUGACUCUGCACUAAAAUAUUAUUUAAAUUGACAUCAUUAUUACAAUAUUUAGGGUCAGACCCUACAGUAUUGAGAUUAAGAAAUCAAAUAUUCUAUAAAAUGUAAAUACACUGAACUCAUUUGGAUAUAUUUAAGUGAGACUCUACAAUAUUAUUUGACACAAAUCUAUCUAGAUUUUAAUCAUUUUUACUCCAAACAUUUACUUUACUGAUUUAAACAUUAAAAUCACUCCUUUCUAAUCCUCUGCUGUAUGUUCAAACAUGAGGCCUGAAAUAGAGAAACACACAAGUAUCUGAUUGAAGGAACUUCUGCAGAGUCCUGGUUCCAGAACAUGAUGAUAGAAUUAUAGACAAACUUUAACAAAAGCUGCCUGAGAGUUUACAGGUUUUUAUGUUAGAUUUCUUCAGUAAUUUAAUGAGAGUUAUCAGCAAAAAUCAAGUGUUCAUUUGAUGAACUUAAUUUCCUAAAACAUCCAGAAUUGGAGCUCAUAUCUUUGGCAGUUGUAAAGUUUCUGCUCCUUCAAAGUUCACAACACAAUGAACGAAUUCCUAAAACACUCUCAAUGCUGGAGAGCAUUUGUGAUGCUGAAGCAGUGACCAGUUUUUCUGUUUCUUCUCUGGAGAUGCACAAUGAGGGACGUCUGCAGCGACUGAGAAAGAGUCUCACCACAUCCUGACAUGAGGAAAAGACUUUAUUGAAGACUACAAUGAGGAAAAUUAUCAGACAGCAGACGGCUGCAUUCAAGAGAGGAAGACCAUCAAACAUCCAUGUCAGCUGAUGGAGGUCCAAGAGUCUCACCAAACAAACAACCUACAGAGUGAAGACCUCAAAUCUGAUUGGACGGCCUCCUAUUCAGCCACAUGUGUGAACAAAUGCUUCUAAGCUGAUUUGUUUUCUAAAAUAAAUCUAGUUUGAGUUCUAAUCUAUGCCUGUGUGUUUGCUUCUUUACACCGCUGUUAACAGUUUAGGCUGUUAGAUUGUUCCAGAUAAGACAAGUACAAGAUUCUUCAGAGCCGUUCUACCACGAGCCUGACAGGAAGAACUCCAACAGCUACUGAAUGUUCCUGUGGUCCCCUCAAGGCUACAGGAGGAGCCCUACGAGGACGAGCCGGUCCACCUGAUGGAGGCCAGUCGCUGCGGUUCAAAGCCAACACCGACUACGUGGACUUCUACUGGACCACACGGAGGCCUUCAAACCGGACCAACAAGUUCAGCGACUCCCCGACUCGUGGGUCUGAGGAUGCCGCCGAGCCUCGGUCCAGCCGGCCUCCUGUCUGUGGGUGUUUGAUUGCUGAGAGGUUUGUGGAUGCAUGUGAACGUGUCUGUGUUGAAACAGCAGCUUUUGACUCACUAACACCGGGAAAAACCAAGAGCUCCUUUAUUUGUGACUUCCACUAAAAAAAACUGAUGAAAAUAAGUUUGCCAGGGUUCUGACUGAUAUCAGAUUAUUAAAUAAUGAAAAUAAAAAUUUAAAUAUUCCUUUAAACAAUCCUUUUAGGUCUACGUUUCCUUGACACUGACUUCUUGGUAUUUUGGGUGGAAUAUACCAUUAAGCCCAAUGUUCAAGGGUUCUUCUGGGAAUAUACCAUUAAACCAACCUUUUAGGUACCGUAAAUGUUCCUGGAUGUUGGGUAUAAUAUUCCAUCAGAUAAACCUUUUAGGUCUACAUUGGAAGAUUUUAGAGUAGAAUAUUACUCCAAACCAUCCUUUAGGUCUACAUUUAAGGUGGAAUACUCCUUCAUACCAAGAUUUUUUGGUCUACAUUGAAGGCUUUUAGGUGGAAUAUUCCUUUAAAUCAACCUAAAUUUCAUGUUUUGAUCAUUAACAAGUGAGAAACCUCAAUCCAGACUCCUCAUAAUGACGUUUGAGAUUUAAGCUGCUGUUAUUUGUUUAGUCCAGACUAAAUGACAGAAAUCCACAACUGUAAUUUUAUUUCUGGACUCGGUUAUUAAAUGUCAAAACAAUCCAUGUGACUCUAAA
ensembl:lncRNA